UGAUGGCAGUUUCGAAAUGGAGCUCUCCCUCCAGCAGUAGUAAAUAUACAGAGUUCUUGGUGAAGGAAUUUGGUUGUUGACUCCAGGAGGCUAAUAAUGAGGAGUGAGGGAAGGGGGCCAGGGCCAUGAGGGUUAUCUCACAGUCCCAGAUGCUGGAUAAGUUGAAGGAGGCAGAGUCACUUUUGGAUGACAUUCAGAAAGGCCUGAAUGCUUAUUGGGAGAAGAAAAGGCUAUUCUUUCCAAGGUGUGUGGCAUCUCUUCCCUCGCCGGUCCAGCGAUGAUGGCAGACCUUCUACCAGCGUAUCCUGAGACAAAGAAUUCGCUCCUGAGCCCCACCACGCCUAAAAUAAAAAUGCUUUGAAGGGAUUGCCAAGCUCACUUUUAAUCAUGGGAAAGAAAUUAC